rnacentral:rRNA from 1 species
UUUUCCACCGGAGCUUGCUCCACCGGAAAAAGAGGAGUGGCGAACGGGUGAGUAACACGUGGGUAACCUGCCCAUCAGAAGGGGAUAACACUUGGAAACAGGUGCUAAUACCGUAUAACAAUCGAAACCGCAUGGUUUUGAUUUGAAAGGCGCUUUCGGGUGUCGCUGAUGGAUGGACCCGCGGUGCAUUAGCUAGUUGGUGAGGUAACGGCUCACCAAGGCCACGAUGCAUAGCCGACCUGAGAGGGUGAUCGGCCACAUUGGGACUGAGACACGGCCCAAACUCCUACGGGAGGCAGCAGUAGGGAAUCUUCGGCAAUGGACGAAAGUCUGACCGAGCAACGCCGCGUGAGUGAAGAAGGUUUUCGGAUCGUAAAACUCUGUUGUUAGAGAAGAACAAGGAUGAGAGUAACUGUUCAUCCCUUGACGGUAUCUAACCAGAAAGCCACGGCUAACUACGUGCCAGCAGCCGCGGUAAUACGUAGGUGGCAAGCGUUGUCCGGAUUUAUUGGGCGUAAAGCGAGCGCAGGCGGUUUCUUAAGUCUGAUGUGAAAGCCCCCGGCUCAACCGGGGAGGGUCAUUGGAAACUGGGAGACUUGAGUGCACAAGAGGAGAGUGGAAUUCCAUGUGUAUCGGUGAAAUGCGUAGAUAUAUGGAGGAGAACCAGUGGGGGAAGGCGGCGCUCUAUUUGCGUAGUAUACAUCGAGGAAACACCAGCGACAGAAGGGCGGCUCUCUGCUAAUAUACGUGACGUUGAGGAUGAAGGCGUGGGGAAGCAAACCAGGAUUAGAUACCCUGGUAGUCCACGCCGUAAACGAUGAGUGAUAAGUGUGGGAGGGUUUCCCGCCUUUCAGUGCUGCAGCUAACGCAUUAAGCACUCCGCUUGGGGAGUACGACCGCAAGGUUGAAACUCAAAGGAAUUGACGGGGGCCCGCACAAGCGGUGGAGCAUGUGGUUUAAUUCGAAGCAACGCGAAGAACCUUACCAGGUCUUGACAUCCUUUGACCACUCUAGAGAUAGAGCUCCCCCUUCGGGGGCAAAGUGACAGGUGGUGCAUGGUUGUCGUCAGCUCGUGUCGUGAGAUGUUGGGUUAAGUCCCGCAACGAGCGCAACCCUUAUUGUUAGUUGCCAUCAUUCAGUUGGGCACUCUAGCAAGACUGCCGGUGACAAACCGGAGGAAGGUGGGGAUGACGUCAAAUCAUCAUGCCCCUUAUGACCUGGGCUACACACGUGCUACAAUGGGAAGUACAACGAGUUGCGAAGUCGCGAGGCUAAGCUAAUCUCUUAAAGCUUCUCUCAGUUCGGAUUGCAGGCUGCAACUCGCCUGCAUGAAGCCGGAAUCGCUAGUAAUCGCGGAUCAGCACGCCGCGGUGAAUACGUUCCCGGGCCUUGUACACACCGCCCGUCACACCACGAGAGUUUGUAACACCCGAAGUCGGUGAGGUAACCUUUUUGGAGCCAGCCGCCU